rnacentral:lncRNA from 1 species
AUGGCGAGGCCCUCGAGCGACAGGUCCCCAGCCCCACAGCUGCUGGGCGGCCCAGCGGGAGGCGCGGCGCUGCAUGGCCUGCGAAGCCUCCUGCAGGGGCCCGGGAAGACCAAGGAGCUGCCGGCCAGCUGUGAGUGUCCCGCGGCGGGACCCAGGCGUCCCCUCCUCCCCGGGACCCCAGCGGCUAUGGGCGGGCGGGGGUCGGGAGCUCACAAGGCUUGGACACGGGCCGGGGCGGAGCUUCCCGGGGUCACAUGGGGCCGCGGGCGGGAGACGGGGCGGAGCCCUCCCCUGGCCCUGCCUGCUGGUUUGUGCCCCUUCUGGGGCCAGGACCUAGCCAGAGGCUGGGGGCGCAAAGGGGAGGGCACGGACCCUGGGGUGGAUGCAAAGGGCCCUGGGGAGUCUAGGUCGGAAACCGCUGACUCUGUUCUUGCCCUUCCCUCUGUCUCCCCCUUGGGUGUCUUUCCCUGCUCCCUGCCUCGACCUCUCGGUGCCGCCGCCCCCCCCCCCCUCCGCCCCCUGUGCCUGUCCGGCUCCCUUUUCGGGCUUUCCUGCGUCCCCGCAUGCAUCCUCAACCGUCUCCCCCCCCCCGUGCUGCCCGGCUCCUCUGUGCCACCCUCCGCCUCUCCCUGCCCCCGUCUCGUGCUGGACACCCCAUGGAUUGCCCCGCCCCGUACUUUCCCCCAACCGUCUUGGGUCUCUCCGGUGUCCCCAACUCGCUGUCUGGGCCCUCUCUGCAUCACCUGCAUUUGUCUCACCUUCUGCCCCCACUCCUGCCCCGCCCCGCGAAUCUCUCACUCUAUGCGUCUCACUGUGCAUCUCACUGCUCCUGUUUGUGUGUGUCCCACUGUGUCUGCGUGUGCCCUGCUGCCCGUAUGCCCCGCUCUGCGUGUGACCCGUGCGCCCCGCUGCCGGUUGCUCCGCUCUGUGUGCGCCCCCCUGCUCGUGUGCCUCGCUGCGUCCCGCCCCCGUCCGCCCCGUCUUGUCCGUCUCUCCGCCAGGUCUCCUGAAGGAGAAGGAGCGCAAGGCGGUGGCCAGCGGCAGUGA